rnacentral:lncRNA from 1 species
CCAUGCUCUGAAUACCAAAUGAUAGCUCCAGCUUUGGGCUAUUCCUCAUAUCCGUGAGAUCCAGAUGCAGAGACGUAGUGGCAGCGGAAGAAAAUGGAGAUAAGAUGAAAAGGUNUGAUAGCUCCAGCUUUGGGCUAUUCCUCAUAUCCGUGAGAUCCAGAUGCAGAGACGUAGUGGCAGCGGAAGAAAAUGGAGAUAAGAUGAAAAGGUGCAGCGGCAGUGCAUGUUUAUGGAACGGUGAAACGGUUGAAAGUGCUAUGGUGGAGUGAAUCUAGCUCAGAAGGCCUUCACCAUUGGAAGGAAGCUAGAGGAUAAGGUGGAAGAAGCACAAGAAUUUGACUCUCGGUGGAGAGAAGACGCUGGAAAUGCUUCAGCAUAUCUAUUCUCUCAAAA